UACAGAGGUCUCAAGCGUUGUUCGGAUUCAUUGGGCGUAAAGGGUGUGUAGGUGGCGCGCUAAGUCGGGUGUGAAAUCUCGGGGCUUAACUCCGAAACUGCAUUCGAUACUGCCGUGCUUGAGGACUGGAGAGGAGACUGGAAUUUACGGUGUAGCGGUGAAAUGCGUAGAUAUCGUAAGGAAGACCAGUGGCGAAGGCGGGUCUCUGGACAGCUCCUGACGCUGAGGCACGAAGGCCAGGGGAGCAAACGGG
rnacentral:rRNA from 1 species